rnacentral:tRNA from 1 species
GCCUUCGUGGUGUAGCGGUAGCACACUCCUGGGUACGUAUUUGAGAGUUCGAGGGUUCGAAUCCCGGCGAGGGCC